rnacentral:rRNA from 1 species
UACGAAGGGGGCUAGCGUUGUUCGGAUUUACUGGGCGUAAAGCGCACGUAGGCGGAUUGGUCAGUUAGGGGUGAAAUCCCAGAGCUCAACUCUGGAACUGCCUUUAAUACUGCCAGUCUCGAGUCCGGAAGAGGUAAGUGGAACUCCUAGUGUAGAGGUGGAAUUCGUAGAUAUUAGGAAGAACACCAGUGGCGAAGGCGGCUCACUGGUCCGGUACUGACGCUGAGGUGCGAAAGCGUGGGGAGCAAACAGG